AUCGCUUCUCUGCCUUUUGGCUAAGAUCAAGUGUAGUAUCUCUUGCACAUUGCACAUUUUAGAAUCUUUUUAUUUAUUUAUUUUUACAGACAAAGUGGACAGUGAGAGAGAGAGAGAGACAGAGAGAAAGGUCUUCCUUUUCUGUUGACUCACCCCCC
ensembl:snRNA U2 U2 spliceosomal RNA